CCUGGUACAAGUACAAGUGUCUCUUCAUCAGAAACCUCUUUUGAGAUCUCUUGGGGAGAUUCUUCACUGUGUGCCAUGCUUGCACUAUGGUCAGAUCUCCCCUUUAGCUGCAAGGAGAAAAGAACAAUGAGAUGAACAAAGCAACAGGUCAAAGCUUUGUUUUCCUAUACCCGAGUACCCAUGGCCACCCCAAGGGUUAGACUCAGGAGGCAUCAAAGGUAUUGAGUAUUAAGCUCACUCGAAAGUUUAAACUUGGGACCUCAAAGCCGAUAUGACCAACAGACCUCAAGCCCUUGCCAACAAGGCCACACCUUGGGGCAUCUACUCAUUAUUAAUUAUAACUUAAAAAACAGUUAUUAGUACUUCAAUUUUUGUUCAAAGGAAAAAUAUGAUGUUCAAAAUAAAACAAAUAUAUGAUUUUUUUUUUUUAAAAAAAAAAGCAAGAUUCAUCUGAAGUGACAUUUUACAAUAGAUAACCCACUUAUCUUUUGGCAUUGAGGUAAUAA